GAUGAAGAACGCAGCGAAAUGCGAUAAGUAGUGUGAAUUGCAGAAUUCAGUGAAUCAUCGAAUCUUUGAACGCACAUUGCGCCCUUUGGUAUUCCAAAGGGCAUGCCUGUUCGAGCGUCAUUUGUACCCUCAAGCUUUGCUUGGUGUUGGGCGUCUUGUCUCUAUCUUUGCUGGAGACUCGCCUUAAAGUAAUUGGCAGCCGGCCUACUGGUUUCGGAGCGCAGCACAAGUCGCACUCUCUAUCAGCAAAGGUCUAGCAUCCAUUAAGCCUUUUUUUCAACUUUUGACCUCGGAUCAGGUAGGGAUACCCGCUGAACUUAAGCAUAUCAAUAAGCGGAGGA
rnacentral:misc_RNA from 1 species